UACGGGGGAUGCAAGCGUUAUCCGGAUUUAUUGGGUUUAAAGGGUGCGUAGGCUGUGAGGUAAGUCAGCGGUGAAAUGCCCCCGCUCAACGGGGUGAAGUGCCAUUGAUACUGCCUUGCUGGAAUGCGGAUGCCGUGGGAGGAAUGUGUGGUGUAGCGGUGAAAUGCAUAGAUAUCGCGCAGAACUCCGAUUGCGAAGGCAGCAUGCCGGCUCCACACUGACGCUGAGGCACGAAAGCGUGGGUAUCGAACAGG
rnacentral:rRNA from 1 species